AGAGGACCUAAACAAAUGGGAAGAUAAAUGACAUUCAUGGAUUGAAAGACCCAGUGUAGGAGUUCCCGUCGUGGCGAUACUCAGCCAAGAACCUAGAAGGGCAGAGGAGAAAUUAUUUUUCUUCCCUUACAAGUGAAACCACAGCCUAUUCAGAUGCAAAGUCUCUUCUAAUUUAAUUUUAUAGCAAAGACUCCUUGCCUAGCAGAGGAAACCAAAGUCAGCAUCUAAUUCCAGCCAACAUGUUUUCAAGAGUCCCAGGCACAGACUUUGUAAGGAGAGUCAGUCAGAAGACAGCAGCUCUGCUCUACCUGCCAUCAGCACACUUGGUCUUGCACACACACAGUGCCCUCCUUGCCAACCUUUUCCAAUUCUCUUCUCCAGAAACUGUCUGCAUUUGGAAAAAAACGACCCUAGAGGAGAGCUGGUCUGGGAAGUGCUGUGGGUCCAGGGGACAGCUGUACUCACUGCAGGGAUGGUGCAGUGCCUGCGGGCAAUGCCCACCAACCAGCCAGCGAGGAGCAGAGGCGGCCCCACCAGGCUAGGGCCUCUGGCACCCUCACCCAGACACUCACAGAGCCAGUGCCCACACACACCCCAAGGCUCAGAACAGGACUGCUCUCAUGCUCAGCUAUCCUCCCAGGAUGCUGAGCAUCCAAAGCCCACAACACAGACACACACACACCCCCAGGAUGCUGAGAGCCCACAGCCCACUACACAGACACACAGACACACACAGACACACACACACACACACAGAGGAAUGCAUCGCAGCACUCACCAUCUGCCGCCCCACUAGAACAUCUCCACCCAGUCCUGAGAGGGGCCUGCGUGGGACGCGCACCCACCACGAGGGCGCUCAGGCGCCCGAGGCCAAGGCACGCUCACCUCUUGUAGGCAGAGUGGUCAUUCUUCACGCUGCACUUCAUGUUCUUCAGCUCAUCCAACACAGCAAACAUGUUGAUGAACUUGCCCAGGGUGAUCAGGUAGGCUUCAGAAACGAAGUCCUUCCUUCUCUCCGCGUGGCACAGGCGCCUCACCUCCCCACAGAAACGCUCGAUGGCAUUCCUCUGCGCAGAG
rnacentral:lncRNA from 9 species